rnacentral:rRNA from 1 species
CAGCCGCCGCGGUAAUACGGAUGGNNCCAGCGUUGUUCGGAAUCAUUGGGCGUAAAGGGCGCGCUAGGCGGCCGAUCAAGUCGAACGUGAAAUCCCCCGGCUCAACCGGGGACCUGCGUCCGAUACUGCUCGGCUCGAGUCCCGGAGAGGGUAGUGGAAUUCCCAGUGUAGCGGUGAAAUGCGUAGAUACUGGGAGGAACACCGGUGGCGAGGGCGGCUCCCUGGACCGGUACUGACGCUGAGGUGCGAAAGCGUGGGUAGCAAACAGGAUUAGAUACCCUGGUAGUCCACGCCGUAAACGAUGGGCACUAGGUGCAGCGGGUGUCGACCCCUGCUGUGCCGAAGUUAACGCAUUAAGUGCCCCGCCUGGGGAGUACGGUCGCAAGGCUGAAACUUAAAGGAAUUGACGG